AUUGAACGCUGGCGGCAUGCCUUACACAUGCAAGUCGAACGGCAGCGGGUCCUUCGGGAUGCCGGCGAGUGGCGAACGGGUGAGUAAUGCAUCGGAACGUACCCGGAAGUGGGGGAUAACGUAGCGAAAGUUACGCUAAUACCGCAUAUUCUGUGAGCAGGAAAGAGGGGGAUCGCAAGACCUCUCGCUUUCGGAGCGGCCGAUGUCGGAUUAGCUAGUUGGCGGGGUAAAGGCCCACCAAGGCGACGAUCCGUAGCGGGUCUGAGAGGAUGAUCCGCCACACUGGGACUGAGACACGGCCCAGACUCCUACGGGAGGCAGCAGUGGGGAAUUUUGGACAAUGGGGGCAACCCUGAUCCAGCCAUGCCGCGUGAGUGAAGAAGGCCUUCGGGUUGUAAAGCUCUUUCGGCUGGGAAGAAAUCGCAUCUCCUAAUACGGGGUGUGGAUGACGGUACCAGCAUAAGAAGCACCGGCUAACUACGUGCCAGCCGCCGCCGUAACAC
rnacentral:rRNA from 1 species